rnacentral:rRNA from 1 species
UACGUAGGGUGCAAGCGUUGUCCGGAAUUAUUGGGCGUAAAGAGCUCGUAGGCGGUCUGUCACGUCGGCUGUGAAAACCCGAGGCUCAACCUCGGGCCUGCAGUCGAUACGGGUAAACUAGAGUACUGCAGGGGAGACUGGAAUUCCUGGUGUAGCGGUGAAAUGCGCAGAUAUCAGGAGGAACACCGGUGGCGAAGGCGGGUCUCUGGGCCGAUACUGACGCUGAGGAGCGAAAGCGUGGGGAGCGAACAGG